UCCUCAGCCAUUUUAACUGCGCAGCACGAAGACAGACUGUCGCCAUUUGAACUGCGCAGCACGAGGACAGACUGAAGAGGAGGCUUGCUCUCUGUGCUGUGACAAUGUCACCUGCAGUGACCAGCUUGUGUAAGGGCAGCUGUAGCAUCACCUGUUUCUCCUUCAACACAGCUGCAGCUGUUGUGCUGCGGUGGAAAAACGUGACAACUUUCCUCACUCUGCCGAGGAGUCGGGACAUCUGGUGAACGCCCAUCGCUCUCUGCGCAGCCAGAUUAACGUAUAUGCGGUGAAAAUCCGGCCGCUUCGACAGCAUUGGCAAUGUUUCUGCCGUUAUCUGUUGUCACUUAAAGCACUUACAGCAAAUUGUGUGGGUCUUGUCGACUACACCAUUGCCGUCCUUUAUCUCCACCAUGUAGCCCAAAUGUUGCCAUACUGCUGACUGAAAUGAAGAGGGAGGAUCCGCUAUUUCUGGUUUUCUCUCGUGUGAUCACUGGACUGAACACAGAUCCACAUCAGACGUCCUCCAGGAAACAUGAAGGAGAUUUUCCACUCAAACUGAGAGGUAACUCUUUAAAGUGCUUUCAAUAUGAUGCUUUCAGUGGAGCAGUGAUAAGUCAGUGAGGAGCUCAUUUGCACAAACUCAUGACAACAACAAAGAGAAGACGUGCUUUUUAUAUAUGAGGUUUACACUUUACACUAUAAAACAAGUUAUUCUCUGUAAAUCUGUAUAUUGGGACGGUUUAUACAUUCAGUCUGUCUGUAAUGAUCUGGCUUUGUCUCUGUGACGGUUCCUACUAUACUAGAAAUUCUACACGACGGUACUACCGUGGAUAACUAUACUACCGGUGUCAGUGUUUGCUACAUAGCGGCCGCCUCUACUCUCCUCCCGGCUUUUCACUGCCUGCUUCUCCCUUGUGGCGAGUCUGCCGUGGCGUCGUCGUCAGUGGCACCGCUAACUUUGCUCAAAAAACCAAACUCCAAAAGUCACAUUUGGAACUAUUUUGGCUUUAAACGAGACACAGAUGGUAAAGCAAUAGACGAUGGCCGUCCACUGUGCAGGCGCUGCCACCAAGCUAUACGAGCCUAAAGAGGGAACACUUCUAACCUCGUAAAACACCUGCAGUGUCGUCACACACAUUUAUAUGUGGAAUACCAGGUUAGUAUUGGCUAAUAUUAGGCUAUAUGCUCCGUGUACAGGCUGAGGAAUGAAGAGUUAAAGGAUGUCAAAGAAUAAAGAACAUAGAAAAGCCAUAAAAAUAGAGUUUUCACAGGGAAUCACUUCCUGUUUAUUGUAUUUUGUUCUCUAUGGUUUAUUAUGUUGGAAAAGAAGCAUUAUUGUCAAAUAGAUUUUUUUAAAAGACAGGGGAUUUGUUAUCCUAAGUUGAUUAUUUAUAUUAGUUUAACAUAAAUUAAUGUGCAAAGGAAACUGAAUGAUUAUAUAUAUACGUAUGUUAUAUGUUUAUCAUGCACCAAACAACAUUAUAAGUCAUUAAUAAGUAUUUAUAACUUGUACAAAUUACAUUGCAGUUCAAAAAAACAAUAAUCAUCAAAAAAGGCUGCAGUAUCGUGAUACUACCCGGAACCACGAUACUUUGUCUGGUAUAGUAUCGUGGUUACUCAUUUUGGUAUUGUGACAACUCUAGUCUCUGUGUCUGUGUGUGUGUGUCUGUCUGUGUCUGUGUGUGUGUCUGUCUGUGUGUCUGUCUGUGUGUGUGUCUGUGUGU